rnacentral:rRNA from 1 species
GCUCCAAUAGCGUAUAUUAAAGUUGUUGCAGUUAAAAGGCUCGUAGUCGAACUUCUGCCUUGGCAGCCUGGCCGCCGCUUCGGUGGCGCGUGACGGGCUGUCGGGUCAUCCUUCUGGAGAGCUCCUCUGCCUUGACUGGGUUGGGGGAAGGAUCCAGAUCCUUUACUGUGAGAAAAACAGAGUGUUCAAAGCAGGCUUUA